rnacentral:rRNA from 1 species
UACGGGAGGCAGCAGUGGGAAUAUUGCACAAUGGGCGCAAGCCUGAUGCAGCCAUGCCGCGUGUAUGAAGAAGGCCUUCGGGUUGUAAAGUACUUUCAGUCGUGAGGAAGGUGUUAAGGUUAAUAACCUUAGCAAUUGACGUUAGCGACAGAAGAAGCACCGGCUAACUCCGUGCCAGCAGCCGCGGUAAUACGGAGGGUGCGAGCGUUAAUCGGAAUUACUGGGCGUAAAGGGCACGCAGGCGGUUAAUUAAGUUGGAUGUGAAAUCCCCGGGCUUAACCUGGGAAUGGCAUUCAAGACUGGUUAGCUAGAGUCUUGUAGAGGGGGUAGAAUUCCAUGUGUAGCGGUGAAAUGCGUAGAGAUGUGGAGGAAUACCGGUGGCGAAGGCGGCCCCUGGACAAAGACUGACGCUCAUGUGCGAAAGCGUGGGGAGCAAACAGGGAUUAGAUACC